AUGUUCCCCAGUUCCUUUGCUGCCCUUUGCCUGGGUGAACACCUCGGCUCAGCCUCCUCUCUUCUUCUCUUCUUGAGGGGUGUGUAUGCAGUCCACUUUUGAGGCCAGAGGGAAAUCUCCGAGGACAAAUUAACACACUGCAGGAAACUCCAGCAGAAGUCUAAUGGCACCUGAAAAAAUAGAAAGAGGAGAUCAGUUAAGAUAUUCU
rnacentral:lncRNA from 1 species